UGCGCAGGCGGUUAUGUAAGACAGAUGUGAAAUCCCCGGGCUCAACCUGGGAACUGCAUUUGUGACUGCAUAGCUUGAGUGCGGCAGAGGGGGAUGGAAUUCCGCGUGUAGCAGUGAAAUGCGUAGAUAUGCGGAGGAACACCGAUGGCGAAGGCAAUCCCCUGGGCCUGCACUGACGCUCAUGCACGAAAGCGUGGGGAGCAAACA
rnacentral:rRNA from 1 species